rnacentral:snRNA from 1 species
AUACUUACCUGGCAUAGGGGCUACCGUGAUCAUUAAGGCGGUUCCUCUGAGGCGAGGCUCUUCCAUUGCACUUCGGUUGGGCUGACCUUUGCGAUUAUCCCUAAUCUGGAUAACUCGUGCGCAUAAUUUUUGAUAGCCGGGGUAUUGGUGUAUGGCUUAAAAAUUACCGA